AUUGAACGCUGGCGGCAGGCCUAACACAUGCAAGUCGAGCGGGGUUUUCGGACCUAGCGGCGGACGGGUGAGUAAUGCGUAGGAAGCUGCCCGAUAGAGGGGGAUACCAGUUGGAAACGACUGUUAAUACCGCAUAAUGUCUACGGACCAAAGUGUGGGACCUUCGGGCCACAUGCUAUCGGAUGCGCCUACGUGGGAUUAGCUAGUUGGUGAGGUAAUGGCUCACCAAGGCGACGAUCUCUAGCUGGUUUGAGAGGAUGAUCAGCCACACUGGAACUGAGACACGGUCCAUACUCCUACGGGAGGCAGCAGUGGGGAAUAUUGGGCAAUGGGCGCAAGCCUGAUCCAGCCAUGCCGCGUGUGUGAAGAAGGCGUUCGGGUUGUAAAGCACUGUCAGCGAGGAGGAAGGGUGGUGUGUUAAUAGUACAUCAUUUUGACGUUACUCGCAGAAGAAGCACCGGCUAACUCUGUGCCAGCAGCCGCCGUAAUAC
rnacentral:rRNA from 1 species